UUCAGAGCUUGGUAAAUGACUGCCAGCUUCUUUCCUGUACCUCCAUCCUGCACUGCCUGCCUUUAAGUCUCUGCCAAAUGAAUGAGACUCACACAGCAUCUGCUAGCACUGGAAUUGGGAAAAUACCUGCCUGAUUGAUUAUAAAGUUAGGGUCUUGCCUAGAGACCUUCCCCGUUGCCCCUUGCCUGGCUCCAGUUUAACUGCAGAACAACCAUGAGAAGUGGAGUUUGAAUUCCCCUCAUAGAGAGAAGCUUGGACUCACCUAGAGCAGACCCAAGUGUAUCCCAAGCACACCAGGCCCCAGAGCUGCUUCAAAAAGACCUGGGGCCAGGCCAGCCGGUGGUGUCAGACAGCAGAAGCAAGUGGCUGUGGCCAGCUGGACCUGCCCUGGCCUUUGAGGAGACAACUGUGACCACCUGCACUGACCCAAGCUGCUAUCCCAUCACUGCCCAGCAAACCACACAGAGAAGGUCUUGAAACAACCUCCCGUGUAUAUCUGAGUCACAAUUCUGUGGUUGGCAGUUGGGUGGAUGGCUGCAAGCAAGCUGGGGCUGCUCUCUGCACCAGAAGGCACCCAUUCUCCAGAAGAGCCCCCACCCUCAGUCUUGCUCACAAAGCACAUCGGGCUGGAAGGCAGAGCAAAAGGACAUAGGCCUCUUGAGUCCCACUUUUACCAUGUUCUAUUGGCCAAAACUAGUCCUGAGACCAGCCCAGAGUCUGGAGUAGGUGUAUAAAUAUGAAGAAAAGGCAUGGGCAGGGUGUUACUGAUGGUGCCACUCUCCACUUCAGGCCAGCAUCUCUACACACUCAGCCUCUGGCCUCUGGCCUCUACCUCAACCAUAGAUCAAAGGAGGUAGUUGGAUUCAACUGUGUGACAAAUCAACCUAUCAAAGGAAGAGGGUCACAAAUCCUGGAACCCAGUGGACCUACCCCAGGUGAUGUGAUAGGAUCAUCCAGAGCAGUUUUAAAACCACCAGUGCCCAGGCGCCAGGAAUGCUCCCCAGCUGUGCCCUGCACCCCAUCACUGGCACGCAAGCCAAAGCUCUGAACUCUGCUGAUGACAAAUGACAAGAGCAGUGAUUAGGACAAUGUCCCUUAACCAUCACUCACUUUGGAUCCAGUUUUAAAUGCCUGCUGUUACUCAUGGGAGAGACCAGAAGAGCUCCCCCAGGCUUCUUCUUCUGGGAAAACCACUGGAAUCACUUGGCUGGUGUCAUCUCCCAGCCUCUGAUCCAAGACAGCUGCUCCAGCUCCUGCCACCUCAUCUACAUUCUAGUCAACAGAAAAGAAGAACAGACAAAGGUUGAAAGCCAGCUGUCUUCAAGAAAGGCACCUGGAAGCCACCAUAUGGUACUUUAACUUACAUCCAAUGGCCUUGAGUUAAUCAUAGAGACUGCACACAACCAUAAGGCAGGCUGAGAAACAUCUUUACCCUAGGUGACCUUCUAAAAUCAGGACUAAAAAAGUAGGGUUCUAUUCUUAUAGAAGGAUCAAUAUUAGUGACAACUGGCCUCUUGGCUAAUCAUCACCUUGGCCAAUGAGCCUGAGGGGGGCUUUCUCUGGAUCUUAGGGCCAUCAGCUUUGCACUUGCCUUAUACCAGGAGGCCUGCCUACUGGCAAGUGCUUUUGGAAAACCUCUGUCUCAUGCUUUCCCAGAGCUGAAAUUCAGUCUCUAAUCACCUCCUUGGGAUCCUAAAGAUAGAGCACUUGGGAUGGAGAGACUGUUUCCAGGCAAAGGUUUCCAUCUGCUUUACUGACCACUGGGACAUUCUCUUGAAUAAUACUUGGCCACAAGACUAGGACUACAAAACCCCAAAACAGAACCUCAAGUCCUCAUCGCUAUGAGAAGACAGAACUAUCUAGUCAAAACAAUGGCUUAGUUAUACAGAUUUCAAGGGAAAGUUUCAGCUGGGCUUUUAUCUUUUGGCUGGAUGGGUGGGCACCCAGCCAGUGGGGGUGCCACAGGCUUGACCUCACCUCUGACCACAGCUGGGAUAGUGUGACCUCCAAUAGGCUCUGCCCUUAUCAGCUUUGGGGGCCUGACUGGCUCGUGGAAGAAUGGGGAGUAAGGCAUAUCAUCCAGAACUUUGGGACUGGGCCUCUGCUGUCCCAGAGAGUCACAGGGUAUAGAAUCAUCUUCACACCAAGGCUCCAAUAACAUGGAUGACCAGGGCCCUGCCCUUGUGCCUGUGGUAUCUACAAGUUCUACCCAACAGUUCAUGGGGGCAAAGGAGAAAGCCUCAGCUAGACUUGUGUCCAAACCCUGUCCCUGGCCCUCAUCUGCCCAGGGACUCUAGAUGAGUGCCUCACCCUCCUGAGCAAAUUGUCCCUGCUGCCCCAGCUCUGGACAGCCCCAUCAGUCCAAAAAGUCAGAUAGGAGAUUCUACCUAGAACAUGGGGCUUAUCAAAUCACCUUUCUUCUCUGAAUUCAGCCCUCAUGAAAUAGUAGGAAUUGUCAGCAUAGACACCAGGACUCUUUAAAAUGAGGGAACAUGGAGUAUAAUUCAUGAGCAAUAUCCAGACAACAGUCAAUGUGAAGAAUCCAAUCCACCCACAAAUAGCUGCUCUGACUGCCCUCCCAUGGCACCAAGCUGACUGCAAGUAUGGGCAGCUGGGAAACACACCCCAGAUGCUAAGGGGCAACCUGGUGUGGCAUUUAGGGGCAGCGCACAUUUUGUUUACUGUUUGGAACUGCAGUCUGUUGGCAAGGAUUCCAUGAGCACAUGCCACCCAGUUCCCUCUCCCACUCUGUUAUUCUUCCCAACCACCCCCAGAGGAGGUCAAGUUAUCCCUGUUUCACUGAUGGAGAAAAGUCCAGAGAGAUUCAGGAAUGGCCCAUGUCACAGAAACUGCAUGUGGUGGGUGGGUUUUAGGCUAUAUCUGCUAACACUGCUCCCUCCUCAGCACCUAACUGCCCAGAGAACACCUGGCCCCACAUUCUAGGUGAUGACUCCCCACUGGCACUUUCUAGCAGGGCAGAGCCAGCUGUCCCAACCAGAAGGUUCCAGAAUGGGUUCUUUCAGGGUCUCUGAAUCCCUUCAGACAGGCCUCUUUACACUAAGGGUAGAGUGACACCCCCAGUCCCUGCUACACAUCUCCCUUUCCUUCUGCACCUCCUCUGCUACCUCUAACCCACUCUUGGGGAUUCUGGCUGUCAAGCCUGAACAAACUGGCCCCAUUGCCUCAGCUGGCUAGUGUCCCCAUGCCAGGCAACUCCAUGGACAGAGGCCCUCAAGUGGAUGGCCACCCCCACCCCAGGACAGCAGAGCUCAGUCACCUGAGUCACUUAGAAGGCUUUGGGUGUCAAUGUGCCAGACUGACACACCAGUGGGACAUGACACGCCAAAGGGAGGCCUUGACUGAGAAAGCAGCAGGGAGCCAUUGAGGCAACCACACAGCAGGUGUCAUUCCCCCAUUUUAUAGGUAAUAAGCCAAGGGGUUGCAGAGUAUAGUGACCAACUGCACCCAUGCGAUUGGAAGGUGACAAAACAUGAC